GACGAACGCUGGCGGCGUGCCUAAUACAUGCAAGUCGAACGAAGCUGUUUUAACUGGUGCUUGCACCGACUUAAACAACUGAGUGGCGAACGGGUGAGUAACACGUGGGUAACCUGCCCCAAAGCGGGGGAUAACAUUUGGAAACAGAUGCUAAUACCGCAUAACCACAGAAACCACAUGGUUUCUGUGUCAAAGAUGGUUUCGGCUAUCACUUUGGGAUGGACCCGCGGCGUAUUAGCUAGUUGGUAAGGUAAUGGCUUACCAAGGCAAUGAUACGUAGCCGAACUGAGAGGUUGAUCGGCCACAUUGGACUGAGACACGGCCCAAACUCCUACGGGAGGCAGCAGUAGGGAAUCUUCCACAAUGGACGAAAGUCUGAUGGAGCAACGCCGCGUGAGUGAAGAAGGUUUUCGGAUCGUAAGACUCUGUUGUCAGAGAAGAACGUGUGCGAGAGUAACUGUUCGUGCAGUGACGGUAUCUGGCCAGAAAGCCACGGCUAACUACGUGCCAGCCGCCGCGGUAA
rnacentral:rRNA from 1 species